CCAGCACCCGCGGUAAUUCCAGCUCCAAUAGCGUAUAUUAAAGUUGUUGCAGUUAAAAAGCUCGUAGUUGGAUUUGUGGCGUGCGUUGCGGCGUCCAUUCGUUUGGUUCUGCCGUGGCCGCGCCAUCCUUGGGUGGAAUCUGUGUGGCAUUAGGUUGUCGUGCAGGGGAUGCCCAUCGUUUACUGUGAAAAAAUUAGAGUGUUCAAAGCAGGCUUAUGCCGUUGAAUAUAUUAGCAUGGAAUAAUAAGAUAGGUCUAGGGUCCUAUUUUGUUGGUUUGCGGUCCUUAGAAAUGAUUAACAGGGACAGUUGGGGGUAUUCGUAUUCCAUUGUCAGAGGUGAAAUUCUUGGAUUUCUGGAAGACGAACUACUGCGAAAGCAUUUACCAAGGAUGUUUUCAUUAAUCAAGAACGAAAGU
rnacentral:rRNA from 1 species